rnacentral:rRNA from 1 species
GAUUGGCCAUAUCACGUUGAAUCCACUGGGUCUCAUCCGAUCACCAAAGUUAAGUAACGUCGAGUCUAGUUAAUACUCAGAUGGGUGACCGCUUGGGAAACCUAGGUGCUGUAAACA